AUGCGUGGCACCCGUGUCAUUAGCUUAGCUUACCUUCCCUUAGCUAGCCUCACAGAAGCACAGUGCCGGGACAGAAGGUGCUGCUAGUUAGCUUACAUGCUAUUCCAAGGAGCUUCUCGUUUGUUUUAACUGGAUCUCCGUCGUUAACCAUGAGGAAGGACGUAAGGAUAUUACUAGUCGGGGAACCGAAAGUGGGCAAGACGUCACUGAUCAUGUCACUGGUCAGUGAGGAAUUCCCUGAUGAGGUACCGUUGCGUGCUGAGGAGAUCACCAUUCCUGCUGACGUCACCCCUGAGAGAGUGCCCACACACAUAGUGGACUACUCUGAAGCAGAGCAGUCAGAUGAACAGCUGUUCCAAGAAAUAUCUAAGGCGAACGUCAUAUGCAUAGUGUACUCCGUAAACAACAAAAAGUCUAUUGAGAAGGUAACAAGUCACUGGAUUCCCCUCAUCAAUGACAGAACAGACAAGGACAGCAGAGUGCCCCUGAUUCUCGUCGGGAAUAAGUCAGACCUGGUGGACCACAGCAGCAUGGAGACCAUUCUGCCCAUCAUGAAUCAGUACUCAGAAAUUGAGACCUGCGUCGAGUGUUCUGCAAAAAACCUGAAGAAUAUCUCCGAGUUGUUCUACUAUGCCCAGAAGGCCGUUUUGCACCCUACAGGCCCUCUUUACUGCCCAGAGGAAAAGGAGAUGAAGCCUUCUUGCAUCAAAGCACUGACUCGCAUCUUCAAAAUAUCUGACCUGGACAACGACGGCAUUCUCAAUGACCAUGAACUCAAUUUCUUCCAAAGAACCUGUUUUAACAUGCCGCUUGCUCCUCAAGCCUUGGAGGAUGUGAAAAAUGUUGUGCGGCGAAACAUGACUGACGGCAUUAGGGACAACGGUCUCACUCUUAAAGGUUUCUUGUUCCUGCACACUCUCUUUAUCCAGAGAGGGAGGCAUGAGACCACGUGGACUGUGCUCCGAAGGUUUGGCUACGACGAUGACCUGGAGCUCACCCAGGAAUACCUGUUUCCCCUGUUAAAAAUACCUCCGAACUGCACCACAGAGCUAAACCACAAUGCCUACCUCUUCCUGCAGAGUGUCUUUGACAAGCAUGACAAGGACCGAGACUGUGCACUGUCUCCUGAUGAGUUGAAAGAUCUGUUUAAAGUCUUUCCCUACAUGCCCUGGGGCCCUGAUGUCAACAAUACAGUGUACACCAAUGACAAGGGCUGGAUCACCUACCAGGGCUACCUGUCCCAGUGGACGCUGACAACAUACUUGGAUGUACAGCGCUGCUUGGAAUACCUGGGUUACCUUGGUUACUCUAUCAUUCAUGAACAGGAGUCUCAGGCUGCUGCCAUCACAAUCACCAGGAACAAGCACAUUGACCUGCAGAAGAAGCAAACCCAGCGCAGUGUGUUCCGGUGUAACGUCCUGGGAGCACGCGGCAGUGGCAAGAGUGGCUUCCUGCAAGCCUUUCUGGGCAGGAACUUAGCUAGGCAAAAGCAAAUUAGGGAAGACCACAAAUCCUACUAUGCCAUCAGCACCACAUAUGUUUAUGGACAGGAGAAGUACUUGCUUCUACAUGAGGUUCUCCCAGACUUUGAGUUCCUCUCUGAAGCUGAUCUGGCCUGUGAUGUUAUCUGUCUAGUGUAUGACCUCAGUAAUCCACGCUCUUUUGAAUACUGCGCAAAGGUUUAUAAGAAAUACUUUAUGGACAGCAAGACUCCGUGUAUGAUGAUCGCUGCCAAGUCAGACUUGCAUGAGGUUCGCCAACACUACAGCACAUCUCCUCUAGACUUCUGCAGGAGGCACAAGCUGCACCCACCACAGCAGUUCACCUGUAACACAGCUGAAGCUCCCAGCAGAGACAUCUACACCAAACUCACCACCAUGGCCAUGUAUCCCCACGGCAAGCUCCGGUGCAUGUGUGGCUGCAACAGGUGCACGUUUUGCAUCAGUCAGAACCUGCUGAACAGUGAGCUCCUGCGUUCGGUCAGGGCCAAACUCUACAGUGUCAUUGUGAACAGGUGUUCAUUCUCGCGUGUUUGGCUGGGCCUGUUCCUUAUCAUAUUGCAUCUCUUCACUUCAUUCUAACCCUGCUAGCAUGUCUUCUUUUAUCUCUGUUUCACUACCUGGACUGUAGUAGUAUUGCUUAGAUCAGGAGUUUGGUCUUAACCUGUUACAGGCAGGGACUGUGAAGAGUAUGGAAUGUGUGUAUGCACUGGGUUAAUAGCUAGCUCUUGGCACUUUAAUUUGUAGACACUAAACUGUUUCUUGCUUGUAAUGUCAUUCUGGUUGCUGACUUGGUGUUUUGUAUGUGUUUGGUGGCUGAUUUAUAUAAAACUACUGAAGAUGGCAACGUUUUUUCAGUGGUACAUGUUAAAGGACUGAAAACGUUGGUAUUUGGGCAUUUAAUGAUGGUGUGGUUUACUCUGGUGUCUGUGCUGUGCUUGGAUACUGGAAGCUGCGGUUCAGUGAGAAUGGCUAGAUGACACACUCACCUCUCUGACCAGGCAUUAUCCGAGUCCAUAAUCGGUCAAAGGUUCUCGCAGCACUGUGAGCUUUGUGGUUUGAUUUACUGAUCUGUUUAUUAACUCAGACUUAUUUUUUUUCCCUUUACUGCAUUUCUGGGUGGUUGUUUGGAGCAUGUAAUGGUGGCUGUGCUGUGAAUUGUCGUCCUGUACGCAUGUGCACAAGGUUGGGGCCCUUUUAUUAUGGAAAGGAUAUUUGUUAUUUAGCUGAUGAGGAGACCAGCCUCAUCCAUCAUUAGGCUCUUUAAAGGAUUCGAUCAACAUGGAGGCGACUGUCGACCCAUUGAUGUCCAGACACAUGACCCAGGCUGACCUGAAGAACUCCACAUUCUGGCUGCGGGCCAGCGUCGGAGCCACAGUAUUCGCAGUGUUAGGCUUCGCCAUGUACAAAGCCCUUCUCAAGCACCGGUGAUCAGUUACAUGCAGCAUGCGACUGCAAUCCUUUAUCCAGCGGAGAAACUCUUCCUCUCCUUCCCUCCAGCCCAGUCAUUCUCCUUUAAGAGAAAACUAGUAGUAUCAUGAUGGAUAGCUAUAUUUUAUAUAUUUGAACCUACACGCAACCAUUUUCUUCUCUUUCGGAGUUUUGAUUUCAACCUGUGCUCUUAUAUCAAAUGUCUUGUGUGUCAGCCAUGGUUGAAUGCUACAGGCCGUAGACAGACUGGUUUUAAACGACGUUAUUUUUUUUUCUCAGAUCAGUAUUAGCGGGUGUAUCUCUUAUCAGACGGCUCAAGCAGAGGCACGAGAGGAUGGAACUCUUUGUUUAUAAAUGUAAAUAUUGCUUCGGCGGACAAAAGGCAGUAGAGAACUUGUAUGCACGCACAUAAUGGGAGAUGCACAGAAACAAAGCCAUUUCUCACAUGUAUAGGUCAUUAUGCUUUGAGCACGUUUCAGCUGUAAUAAUUUAUUAAUGUCAUGUUUCAGUCAAAAUGUUUUGUUUGACCUUGCAUGCAGCAGGCACUAUACAAGGGAUUUUUUUUUAAUGAUAUGGUUUGUUUUUAUAUUUAUGAUUUGUUUCUUUUUGCCCUUGGCCCCCACAGACACACUAAUGCAGUGAAAGCUAUCUAUAAGCUUCACCGCCUUGUUGACAAGAUCACAAGAAAGAGCCCAAAGUGUAGAUUCUGUGGUCAGGUCAAUGGGACAUGGUCUCUAUGAGAACUCUGUUGAUAGGCUCCACAUGAAAUAUUUAAUAUUAUCUAUAUUAAUAAAUACUACUACUACUACUACCACCACCACCUCACCUAUUUUGUUCAAUUAAUGGCGCAUUGUAUUAUUCAGUGCAGAAACUCCCUGUUCAACACCAUGAAGCUGUUGUACUCAUUUCUGAUCUUUCAAACAUUUACAAUAAACGGUGUGAUUAUAGAGCUGUCUAUCAUAUGUUUGUUCAAUAUUGCUUCUUUUCAGUAGGAAGACUGAACAUUCAGUAGGCAGGACAUAGACAGGAAUGUACAAGUUAGCACCGUUGCUAUGCCAUGCAUGAUCCACGUAAGUCUCUUUACACACAUAAUUCGACAUGACCAUCAUUAAUAAUGAAGAAAAAUAAUCUGUAAGUAAGUACCCUCUUUGUUAGACAGUAUCAACUAAAACAAUCUCUAAACAGAAACAGAAUUGGGAAAUAAAUUAGAGUUUUAUAACCUGAAAGAGGGCCUCUAAAAAC